CUACGAUUAGAUACCCUAUUAUUUUUAACGUUAUUUUAUCCUGGGUAGUAUUAUAUAUGUGUUGAAACCUAUAGUAUUUGGCGGUGUUUUAUUUCGUUUAGAGGAACUUGUAGUGUAAUCGAUAGUCCUCGUUUUAUCUUUCUUUAUUUUGUUUUUAGUAUGUAUACCGCCGUUAUAAGUAUAUUUUUAUAGAAUUUGAUUUACUCUUUAGUUAAUUAAUUGUUAUUUCAGGUCAAGGUGCAGCUUAUAAUAAAGUAUUUAUGAGUUACAAUGUUAUUUUAUAUACGGAUUAAAUAUGUAAUUUAUAUUGAAGGUGGAUUUAAUAGUAAUUUUAAUUAUUUACUUAAGGUGAUUAUGAUUUUAAAAUGAGUACACAUCG
rnacentral:rRNA from 1 species